AAUAUUAAAGUGUAGUAUAUUGUACUGAAUAUUAAAGUGUAUAAUAUGUUAUACUGAAUAUUAAAGUGCAAUAUAUGUUGUACUAAAAAUUGAGGUAUAAUAUAUUGUACCGAAUAUGAAUAUGACCAGAUGGAUGCCGGAUAUAUCCGGCGCUCGUACCGAAAGGGUUAACGUUUCACGAACAUCUACGCCAAGUUUUGCGAACCGUUCGCUCGCAAUUUAAGACCCGACUGCGCCGCGAUCGCGUGCGUUUUACAUGACGCGUGGUGAUCGAAAUUUUUCUUAUUAAAAUAUCUGUGUAGAACGAGCGAAAUUCGAUCUUGAUUCGUGGCAAUAUUUGCGACUCAUACACUUGAGUGUAUACCAACCCGAUAGUUAAUUUUGUAGAACAGUUUUCGCCGAUGUUCGGCGAAAAGAGCGCGACGAAUAAUUAGCCGGAAGCAAAAGUUUAUUAAGACCGAAGCUCAGUUUACUUCUACAAUCAGCAAAUCUUCUCGGGAGAACUAUCUUAAACAGUGCGCAAAUCUUUAUUGUUCACGAAAUAGUGAAUAUCGGUAGACGAUAUUCGGUAGAACAUUAUUAAUUAUCGUAUGCCGCUUUCCUUCGAAUUCUAUGACAAUUGAUGUUUCUCCUUUCUAGGCGAAAAUAUUGACAACCUUUGAUUCUUGUAUAUAAAAAGUAAAUGUACGGUAGAUAAGCAUUGUUUGUUAACAGAUAAAAUUCAGAAGACGAUCAUGUUUGAGAGGAUGCACUGAAAAUCUUGGAAACGCAUAUCAUUGAGAAGAAGUAAAAAAAUGGUCGUAUUAAUAAUCAUUUAAAAGAAAUCGCAUUGGACAAGUUAAUGUCUAGACGCUCUAUAUUAAUUCAACUAUCAUAAGUAGUUCUCAGAAUCGUAGCCUAAGUUUUCACCACGGCCAUCGAACCACACCAUGUAAAACGACCGUCCCAGGGAUUUCACUUGUUUUUAAGCGGAAAAUAUCACGCUACAUUUUGGCGAUCUUUGUUGUUCUGCGGAUUUCUAGAAUCUGAUUUCUGAUACACCCGAUUGUUAACCUAACGUGGAAUUGAGAGAAAUCUAGAGAUAAUCGCGGAAGACUGUAGAGAGCUCACCUAGCUGUAUCUUCUAUUCAGGCACGGGCAAUCUCUGGCUUUUUCAUUACGGCAUAUCAUUGUUGCCGUGUUGUUUGACGUUUGUUUUUUUUUAUAUCGAAUAGUCGUUUCCUUUUCGCGUAAGAAAAUAAUGUACCGAUUAAUCGGAAACUCGGUACAGUAUAAUUAGACUGUGGAUCUUUAAAAGCAAAAGAGAAAUUUUCUACGUCGAUCCUAGAGAACAUAAGUUAAAUUAAAUGAUAUUUUCUUCUUUAAUAAUUUUGAUAGGUUGAAAAUAGUGUAACAACGUUCGUAAAGUUUUCUAAUAUUUCUACGAUUUUGUAUUUUAAUUAUAUUAUAUUACUUUUUGCCAUAUAUUCGUACAAUCCGCAGGCUAAAUUUAACGUGGCAAACGCGUUUCGCUACACGAAAUCGUCAGUAUUAUUUUUAUCAGUUUGAAAUUGUUUAUAGAUCAUUUCAUUUCAGCACAAUCUCUUGGCUGCUAUCCGAUCGUGCGAUUUAAACAUGAUUUAGAAAUAGAUAAAGUUGAUGUAUAUGAUAGAACGAACUUUUAAGCAGGUCUUUGAAGAUUUACAGAAUUACAUUAACAUGUGAUCAUUAUCUGUUUAUUAUGCGUUAUAAUUAUUAGGUCAUUAAGCAUGAAAUACAUAGAUUUUAUAGUGAAAUUAUAGAGUAAAGUAUGCAAUUCAUACAUAAUGGCCUAAUAAUUCGCAGCUUAAAUCGACGAGCUUCAACGAGAAAGACGGACGCGAGAACACAAAUAAGUUGAACAAAGUUUGAGAAUAUUUGUCCAUUAUUAAUUAUAUUUCGUGUAGUGAAGGCUUGAAUUACUGUCGAAACGAGAUAUUAAAAGAGCGAUUUGGAAAGCGUUCCUUCGUUCGUAUUAAUUGUUUCGUAGAAGCGAGCAAGGACUUUUUAAAUGUUUCGUUAGCUAUCGAAUGAAAUAUAUGGUUAUUAUAGUUUAGUUCACAGCCGAUGACCAUCUAGAUGGAAUCGUGAUGCUGAUUAUUGCUAGUGAUUGCUAAUGAUCUUUGGUAACCAAUGGAUUUGUAAAUAUUGCAUUCCGAAAACCAGUAAAAAAUUAAUCUUUCUUCCAGAUGAUUAUUGUCGAACAGGUCUUUAAAAAGUGAGAAGACAAAAGAAAACAGGAGUGAGAGAGAAAGAGAGAGGAAGAAAGAAACAAUGGGAGACAUAGAGAGAAAAAGAGAGAGAGAGAGAGAAAAAUCGUUGAUAGGCCGUGAAAGGUUGCCUAAGCCUGCUCUACGCUAUUGAACCUUAAUCGUUAUAGUCAUAAAAUUAUUUUGUACUAAGAACUGUUUAUAAUUUUGUAUCUAAUCUCUGUAAAUAUCAAGCAGAUUGUCUAUGGCUAAUGAAGCUUAAACAAAAUCGACAUAAGUAGACUAUGUAAAGGAAUAUAUAAAUAUAUAAAUAUAUAUAUAUAAAUAUAAAUAUAAAUAUAUAGGUAUUUAUAUUUUAAUUAGCGGCUAAGAAAAGCGGACGAGAGGAUGUAAUUAAAUUUCACAUAGGCGAGGACUGGUAAUACACCAAUGUACAACGAUCUAGGAACUAUUUGUAUUAUACAGGUGACAAUUUAAGGGACAAAUCAUUAAAACAAAAAAAAAGUAUACAUGUUACUCGAUAGCCACGUAUGUGUACAGGGCGUCGUCAUCGAAUAUGUAUCUUUUUAAGCUACGAAAGGAAAUUUCUAUGAAAAGUCAGUGUUCCAUUGCGUGCUAACAAUUCGAUGAAUGAUAUUUGUAAAGUGUACUUCUGGAAUUCUUUGUCGUAUUCGAAUUCGAUCGUCCUUCCGUUAAGCGUCGGUAUUAAAUACGAACACAGCAAAACAUCAUUUCCUUAAUUUAUUGUAAAUCAAUAUUUAAAAAAAAGAAAAGAAAACCCUGUACAGUAUUACGGCGUAGAAUGCAAACUAGUCAUUUAUGGCACUCUAUAACGAUUAAAGUGUACCUUCUACGUUCAACGUGACAUGCGAAACGUCUGUAAAAAAAAAAGAAAGAUUUUGUAUGAAGAAAUAUUGAUUGCGCUUCUUUUUCGUUUGUCAUUCGAUUAUGGUUGCUAAUACGAUUGUAUCUUGUUGCACGUAAAACAAACUAACCUUCGGUUUUGCUGCUGUAUUAUGUUCACUUUGAUCAGUCUCUCUCUGAAUGCGAACUACCAUUUAAACAUUACUGCCGGUAAUCUAAGUCUUGUGAAAGAUAAUUCUAUUCAUGUAUCUUAUAUGUAUGUCUCGUAAAAGCGGAAGUACACGUUGUAAGUUCAAGUAUGCGGGAAGCACAACGAUAAAACCUAUUUGUAUCGAACAGUCAAAUGAAAUGAUAUUACAUAUUUCAAUGAAAAUUCAUGA